GACGAACGCUGGCGGCGUGCUUAACACAUGCAAGUCGAACGGUAAGGCCCUUCGGGGUACACGAGUGGCGAACGGGUGAGUAACACGUGGGUGAUCUGCCCUGCAUUUCGGGAUAAGCCUGGGAAACUGGGUCUAAUACCGGCUAGGACCACUGCCUGCAUGGGUGGUGGUGGAAAGCUUUUGCGGUGUGGGAUGGGCCCGCGGCCUAUCAGCUUGUUGGUGGGGUGAUGGCCUACCAAGGCGACGACGGGUAGCCGGCCUGAGAGGGUGACCGGCCACACUGGGACUGAGAUACGGCCCAGACUCCUACGGGAGGCAGCAGUGGGGAAUAUUGCACAAUGGGCGCAAGCCUGAUGCAGCGACGCCGCGUGAGGGAUGACGGCCUUCGGGUUGUAAACCUCUUUCAGCACCGACGAAGCGCAAGUGACGGUAGGUGCAGAAGAAGGACCGGCCAACUACGUGCCAGCAGCCGCCGUAAUAC
rnacentral:rRNA from 1 species